rnacentral:rRNA from 1 species
CGGGUGAGUAACGCGUGGGUAACCUGCCUCAUACAGGGGGAUAACAGUUAGAAAUGACUGCUAAUACCGCAUAAGCGCACAGAAUCGCAUGAUUCGGUGUGAAAAACUCCGGUGGUAUGAGAUGGACCCGCGUCUGAUUAGCUAGUUGGUGGGGUAAAGGCCUACCAAGGCGACGAUCAGUAGCCGACCUGAGAGGGUGAUCGGCCACAUUGGGACUGAGACACGGCCCAAACUCCUACGGAAGGCAGCAG